CGCUGAUAAGAAAGGAGAUACUGAGAAAGUGAUCGCACUCGAUGCCGUUGAGGAGCCUGAAACCGCUGAGGUAGUGA
rnacentral:SRP_RNA from 1 species